rnacentral:rRNA from 1 species
GACGAACCGUGCGAACGUUAUUCGGAAUCACUGGGCUUAAAGCGCGUGUAGGCGGGGCGGCACGUCGGUCGCUGAAAUCCCCCGGCUCAACCGGGGAAGGGGCGCCGAUACGACCGGCCUGGAGGGACGUAGGGGGGGCUGGAACUUCCGGUGGAGCGGUGAAGUGCGUUGAGAUCGGAAGGAACGCCCGUGGCGAAAGCGAGCCCCUGGACGUCUACUGACGCUGAGACGCGAAAGCCAGGGGAGCGAACGGG